CAUAAUGACCAAUAAGGUGACAAGGGUAUAACAUAAUGACCAAUAAGGUGACAAGGGUAUGACAUAAUGACCAAUAAGGUGACAAGGGUAUAACAUAAUGACCAAUAAGGUGACAAGGGUAUGACAUAAUGACCAAUCAGGUGACAAGGGUAUGACAUAAUGACCAAUCAGGUGACAAGGGUAUAACAUAAUGACCACUAAGGUGAUAAGGGUAUGACAUAAUGACCAAUAAGGUGACAAGGGUAUAACAUAAUGACCAAUAAGGUGACAAGGGUAUGACAUAAUGACCAAUAAGGUGACAAGGGUAUGACAUAAUGACCAAUCAGGUGACAAGGGUAUGACAUAAUGACCAAUCAGGUGACAAGGGUAUGACAUAAUGACCAAUAAGGUGACAAGGGUAUGACAUAAUGACCAAUCAGGCGACAAGGGUAUAACAUAAUGAUCAAUAAGGUGACAAGGGUAUAACAUAAUGACCAAUCAGGUGACAAGGGUAUGACAUAAUGACCAAUAAGGUGACAAGGGUAUGACAUAAUGACCAAUAAGGUGACAAGGGUAUGACAUAAUGACCAAUCAGGUGACAAGGGUAUAACAUAAUGACCAAUAAGGUGACAAGGGUAUAACAUAAUGACCAAUCAGGUGACAAGGGUAUAACAUAAUGACCAAUAAGGUGACAAGGGUAUGACAUAAUGACCAAUCAGGCGACAAGGGUAUAACAUAAUGAUCAAUAAGGUGACAAGGGUAUAACAUAAUGACCAAUCAGGUGACAAGGGUAUGACAUAAUGACCAAUCAGGUGAUAAUGGUAUGACAUAAUGACCAAUCAGGUGACAAGGGUAUGACAUAAUGACCAAUCAGGUGACUAGGUAUAACAUAAUGACCAAUCAGGUGUCAAGGGUAUGACAUAAUGACCAAUCAGGCGACAAGGGUAUAACAUAAUGAUCAAUAAGGUGACAAGGGUAUAACAUAAUGACCAAUCAGGUGACAAGGGUAUGACAUAAUGACCAAUCAGGUGACAAGGGUAUGACAUAAUGACCAAUCAGGUGAUAAUGGUAUGACAUAAUGACCAAUCAGGUGACAAGGGUAUGACAUAAUGACCAAUCAGGUGACAAGGGUAUGACAUAAUGACCAAUAAAGUGACAAGGGUAUAACAUAAUGACCAAUCAGGUGACAAGGGUAUGACAUAAUGACCAAUUUAGUGACAAGGGUAUAACAUAAUGACCAAUAAAGUGACAAGGGUAUGACAUAAUGAGACAACUCUCCACCAGACACAAAAUGCAAUAGAAAUUUUAACAACUAUAGGUCACUGUACUGCUUUCAACAAUGAGCAAAACCCAUACAGCAUAUAUAUAGUAAGCUAUAAAGACCUCGAAAUAAAUAAUAUAUAACAAUUCAAACAAAAAAACUAACAGCCUCAUUUACUUUGUUUAAUGCAGUGGUUUCUACAUUCAAUAUUAUUGCAUCAUUUAUAGAUUGCAAUAACUACUUACUUUGUAUUUAAUGCAGUGGUUUCUACACUCAAUAUUAUUGCAUCAUCUAUAGAUUGCAAUAACUACUCACUUUGUAUUUAAUGCAGUGGUUUCUACACUCAAUAUUAUUGCAUCAUUUAUAGAUUGCAAUAACUACUCACUUUGUAUUUAAUGCAGUGGUUUCUACACUCAAUAUUAUUGCAUCAUUUAUAGAUUGCAAUAACUACUUACUUUGUAUUUAAUGCAGUGGUUUCUUCACUCAAUAUUAUUGCAUCGUUUAUAGAUUGCAAUAAUUACUUACUUUGUAUUUAAUGCAGUGUUUGUU